rnacentral:tRNA from 1 species
GCCUGAGUGGCUCAGUCAGUUGAGCAUCUGACUCUUGAUUUCAGCUCAGGUCAUGAUCCCAGGGUCUGUGGGAUCGAGUCCCAUGUCAGGCU